rnacentral:rRNA from 1 species
UCAAGCGAAUAAGAGCUUACGACGGAUACCUUGGUGUUCAGAAGCGAUGAAGGGCGUGGCUACCGACGAUACGUUUCGGGGAACUGGAAGCAAGUUUUGAUCCGAAAAUACCCGAAUAAGGAAACUUCAAGAACUACCUCUUGAAUAUAUAAAGAGGAAAGAGCGAACCUAGUGAAUUGAAACAUCUUAGUAACUAGAGGAAAAGAAAGCAAAAGCGAUUCUCUGAGUAGCGGCGAGCGAAACGGGACCAGUCUAAACUUUAUAUCUUAAUAUGAAGGGUUGUGGGAUAGUUUAUUGUAAAGUGUUGUUGUUAGAUGAAGCAGAGUGAAUGCUGCACCAUAGUAGGUGAAAGUCCUGUAGUUGAAAACUUAAACAUUUUAAAACUAUAUCCCAAGUAGGAAGGGACACGUGGAACCCCUUUUGAAUUUGCGAGGACCACCUCGUAAGACUAAAUAUUCCUGAAUAACCGAUAGUGAACCAGUACCGUGAGGGAAAGGUGAAAAGAACCCCGGGAGGGGAGUGAAAUAGAUCCUGAAACCGUAUGCAUACAAACAGUAGGAGCGGACUUGUUCCGUGACUGCGUACCUUUUGUAUAAUGGGUCAGCGACUUACAUUCAGUAGCAAGCUUAACCGAUAGGGGAGGCGUAGCGAAAGCGAGUCCUAAUAGGGCGUCUCAGUUGCUGGGUGUAGACCCGAAACCAAGUGAUCUAUCCAUGGCCAGGAUGAAGGUGCGGUAACACGUACUGGAGGUCCGAACCCACAAAUGUUGAAAAAUUUGGGGAUGAGCUGUGGAUAGGGGUGAAAGGCUAAACAAACUUGGAGAUAGCUGGUUCUCUCCGAAAACUAUUUAGGUAGUACCUCGUAUCUUACUCUCGGGGGUAGAGCACUGUUAUGGCUAGGGGGUCCUUAAGGACUUACCAAACCAUUGCAAACUCCGAAUACCGAGAAGUACAAUUACGGGAGACAGACAGCGGGUGCUAACGUCCGUUGUCAAGAGGGAAACAACCCAGACCGCCAGCUAAGGUCCCAAAUAUAUGCUAAGUGGUAAACGAAGUGAGAAGGCCCAGACAGCCAGGAGGUUGGCUUAGAAGCAGCCACCCUUUAAAGAAAGCGUAAUAGCUCACUGGUCGAGUCGUCUCGCGCGGAAGAUGUAACGGGGCUAAGCAUAUAACCGAAGCUGCGGAUGCAUGUUUACAUGCAUGGUAGGAGAGCGUUCUGUAGGCCUGUGAAGGUGUUCUGUGAGGAAUGCUGGAGGUAUCAGAAGUGCGAAUGCUGACAUGAGUAGCGAUAAAGGGAGUGAAAGGCUCCCUCGCCGAAAGCCCAAGGUUUCCUGCGCAACGUUCAUCGGCGCAGGGUGAGUCGGCCCCUAAGGCGAGGCAGAAAUGCGUAGUCGAUGGGAAACAGGUUAAUAUUCCUGUACCUCAAUUUAAUGCGAUGUGGGGACGGAGAAGGUUAGGUCAGCCAGGUGUCGGAUAUCCUGGUUCAAGCGUGUAGAUAGACUUUUUAGGUAAAUCCGGAAAGUUAAUAUCGAGGCGUGAUAACGAGUGAACUUUGUUCAUGAAGUGAUUAAUACCAUGCUUCCAAGAAAAGCCACUAAGCUUCAGUUAAGUUGAGUCCGUACCGCAAACCGACACAGGUGGGCAGGAUGAGAAUUCUAAGGCGCUUGAGAGAACUCUGGAGAAGGAACUCGGCAAAUUAGUACCGUAACUUCGGGAUAAGGUACGCCCUUGUAGGUUGUAGCAAUUUACUUGCGAAGGCCGAAAGGGUUGCAGUGAAAAGGUGGCUGCGACUGUUUAAUAAAAACAUAGCACUGUGCUAACACGAAAGUGGAUGUAUACGGUGUGACGCCUGCCCGGUGCCGGCCGGUUAAAUGAUGGGGUGCAAGCUCUUGAUUGAAGCCCCGGUCAACGGCGGCCGUCACUAUAACGGCCCUCAGGUCGCGAAAUUCCUUCUCGGGUACGUUCCCACCCGCACGACUCGCCUCACCCUCGCCCCCCCGUCCCCCCUCGAGCCUCACCCCCCCUCACCCGCCUGU